UGAGGAAUAUUGGUCAAUGGGCGAGAGCCUGAACCAGCCAAGUAGCGUGCAGGACGACGGCCCUAUGGGUUGUAAACUGCUUUUAUAAGGGAAUAAAGUGAGUCUCGUGAGACUUUUUGCAUGUACCUUAUGAAUAAGGACCGGCUAACUCCGUGCCAGCAGCCGCGGUAAUACGGAGGGUGCAAGCGUUAAUCGGAAUAACUGGGCGUAAAGGGCAUGCAGGCGGUUAUACAAGUAGGAUGUGAAAGCCUGGGGCUCAACCUCAGAACUGCAUUCUAAACUGUGUGACUAGAGUAUUGCAGGGGGAGACGGAAUUUCAGGUGUAGCGGUGGAAUGCGUAGAUAUCUGAAAGAACACCAAAGGCGAAGGCAGUCUCCUGGGCAAAUACUGACGCUCAUAUGC
rnacentral:rRNA from 1 species